rnacentral:lncRNA from 1 species
GGUCUUCUCAAGAGUGUUGCAGUCUUCAUUUCUGCUGAUGUCCUCAAGAGUAUUACCGUUUCAUAUUUCUGCUGAUUAGAGUUCGAUAUGCGAUCUUCACAAAGUCUGGUACACAGUCUCCUUGAGGGCAUUGCAUUCUCCCAUCUUCCUUCUUCUGCCUACUGGGGUGUCAUGGUGAAGCGCGCGCGUAAAGCGGGGCGCGUAGGCGAGCAUUCAAUUGUUCUGCCAGCUCUCCACACUGCAACAGGUUAACACUUUACAUCAGAGUUGACAGACUUUUGCAAUUUUGUUUAUUAUUACGAUUCAUUCAUUCGGACAAUAUUCUAUAAGCGAUUCGUUGUCAUCUUGUUCGCGUAGUUUCCUGAUCAUGAACGCAGCAGAGCCGAUGACCUCUGUUUCCAGCCCGGCCGUACAGUGUAAGAAACCCAAAAA